GCUGGCACAAUGAUGAUAAGUGUUUGCCGUUUACCCAGCUGAGGGCUUCUUUGAAGAAAUUUUCUAAGACUGAGAUGCCAGU
ensembl:snoRNA small nucleolar RNA, C/D box 87